rnacentral:lncRNA from 1 species
CGGAGCUGAGGCUCCCAGCUGUGGGCCUCGCUGGCCCGGUCGCCCAGUCUCGCGAGAGUUGGGAGUAAACAGCCCCGAAUGGAGUGCCCAGGCGUGUUCGCCGCGGAGGCGCCGUUAUCCCGGGCCCGCCGGCCCUGAGCUCCCGGCGGCGCAGAUUGGCUCACAGUGGUUGAUUGAUCAACCCCAUUGGACGUUGGUUCUGUGGUACAAAUGGAGUACAGGACUCAGUCGUCACGGCCUGAGUGAGAGAAGCCUUAUUUCCAAGAUGGAGAAGAAGCGGAGAAAGAAAUGAAAGCCUCUCUUCAGGCUGAACCACAAAAGGCCAUGGGAUUUAACUUUUAUUUAUGUUGGGCAAGACUGUAAGAUGGCUGAUUAGUAAUGUUGCAGCUUUUAGCUGAAACAAAAAUUCACUUUUAAUCAAGAAGAAAAAAGUGUGAUUUGAAUAUAUGCAAUUUUAUGAUCAUAUUCGCUUGUGACCAUGAAGCUUGUCAACAUCUGGCUGCUUCUGCUCGUGGUUUUGCUCUGUGGGAAGAAACAUCUGGGCGACAGACUGGAAAAGAAAUCUUUUGAAAAGGCCCCAUGCCCUGGCUGUUCCCACCUGACUUUGAAGGUGGAAUUCUCAUCAACAGUUGUGGAAUAUGAAUAUAUUGUGGCUUUCAAUGGAUACUUUACAGCCAAAGCUAGAAAUUCAUUUAUUUCAAGUGCCCUGAAGAGCAGUGAAGUAGACAAUUGGAGAAUUAUACCUCGAAACAAUCCAUCCAGUGACUACCCUAGUGAUUU